CACGACCUCGCGUAACCUGUCAUUGCAAUCCGAGCAGCGCCUGCUGCAACGUGAACGUGCGGUCUGCUGCAAACGGGAGCGAGUUUAUUGCUUCUGGACGGAAAAUGUUUGUGCAAGCUUGUGAUUUCAGCGAUUCUACAUCCAGAACACAUUGUUUAAACACAGUCACAACAACAACAACUAUAUAUUGUGUUUCUUCAAAUGUGUAUAAAUGAGCUAGUUACUUACUCUUAUUAGGACGUUAGUAUUGUAUGUACUCUUACUAUAUUGUGAUUAUCGAACUGUGUACAUGGACAUAUUUUAGUAAAAGUUGCUCUGAAGGUAUUGUAUAUUUUAUCUGCUCUUACUGCAUUGUGAAAUAUGUAUAUUUUGUGAGAGCUGUAAGUCGCCCUGAGUGAGGGCGUCUGCUAAGAAAAUGAAUAAGAAAAAGAAGAAAAACAACAACAACAAAACGCAACGGAAUUAUUUCUUAAAUCGUGAAGUCACGCCCGUGACGAGGACAAUAGAAACAUGUCAUCUUAACGAAGAUUAUGGAUCCAACAAUGUACAGGGAAAUAUUACUGUACAAGACAAUGGGAAAAUACCCCGAGAAGGCCAGGAAGGGGGGAAAAUUCAUCAUCCGGAGGCGUGCAGGACAAUAUGUGGUUCAAGAUGGAUAGCUCUAUUAUAUAUGUAAGAAGGGUACAGAGCCAUCAAUGAAGGUGAAGGUGGUCAAAGGCACUGAAGAGGCAGACAGUCUCUUCCUGGAAUUUCAUGCAAGUGCUAUAGGGGCACACUGUGGCCAACACAGAACCAGAGAGGCAAUUUCCUCCAGAUAUUACUGGCCUGGAAUGGGUUCCAGUAUUGAUAAUUGGCUGCCGUCCCGAGAGCCAGAGGGGGUGGAGCUGCAGUCCCGAGAGCCAGAGGGGGUGGAGCUGCCGUCCCGAUAGCCAAAGGGGGUGGAGCUGCCGUCCCGAGAGCCAGAGGGGGUGGAGCUGCAGUCCCGAGAGCCAGAGGGGGUGGAGCUGCAGUCCCGAGAGCCAGAGGGGGAGGAGCUGCCGCCGCCCGAGCAAGAGGGGAAAGAGGUGAAGAGCCCGCCUCCACCACAGCCCCGACCACCACCCCUGCGGUCCAGUCCGGCACCGCCGCUGUGUGCGGUCCCUCGCCCCUUGCUCCUGGACACCCUUCCGGUUUGCUUGGACCUCCCUUCGCUAGACCUGGAGCCCAGGAGUCUGCAGAACCGGUCACAGUUCUCCACCUGGUUCCAUGCUCCGCUCCUCCCAAGCACCAAGACGUCGCUGCGCUGCUCCCAGACGGCGCUUGAGCUCCCCCUGGUCACUACUUUGCUCCCCCUGGGUGAUUGGACGUCGCUGCACCGGGCCCCGGCUGCAGACCUCCAGUGCCCCGGUUGUCGCGCCGGUCGCCCCUGACAAACCAGUGGGGUCCCUCGUCACAGGUGCGCGGUCCCUACCUGGCGGGGCCAGAACAUGGACCGGCCCACCCUCAAGUCCGCCCAUGGAAGAGGGUGAAAAGAGACAUUGAUGGACUCGAGGGUGGGUGGUUGUGUUUUAGGGGAGGAGGUGGCCGUCGAAUGGCCGGUGUCUUGAAAAGACAAG